GAUGAACGCUGGCGGCGUGCCUAAUACAUGCAAGUCGAGCGAACAGACGAGGAGCUUGCUCCUCUGACGUUAGCGGCGGACGGGUGAGUAACACGUGGAUAACCUACCUAUAAGACUGGGAUAACUUCGGGAAACCGGAGCUAAUACCGGAUAAUAUAUUGAACCGCAUGGUUCAAUAGUGAAAGACGGUUUUGCUGUCACUUAUAGAUGAAUCCGCGCCGCAUUAGCUAGUUGGUAAGGUAACGGCUUACCAAGGCGACGAUGCGUAGCCGACCUGAGAGGGUGAUCGGCCACACUGGAACUGAGACACGGUCCAGACUCCUACGGGAGGCAGCAGUAGGGAAUCUUGCGCAAUGGGCGAAAGCCUGACGGAGCAACGCCGCGUGAGUGAUGAAGGUCUUCGGAUCGUAAAACUCUGUUAUUAGGGAAGAACAAAUGUGUAAGUAACUCUGCACGUUUUGACGGUACCUAAUCAGAAAGCCCCGGCUAACUACGUG
rnacentral:rRNA from 1 species